rnacentral:rRNA from 1 species
UACGAAGGGGGCUAGCGUUGCUCGGAAUCACUGGGCGUAAAGCGCACGUAGGCGGAUUGCUAAGUCAGGGGUGAAAUCCUGGAGCUCAACUCCAGAACUGCCUUUGAUACUGAAGAUCUUGAGUUCGGGAGAGGUGAGUUGGAACUGCGAGUGUAGAGGUGAAAUUCGUAGAUAUUCGCAAGAACACCAGUGGCGAAGGCGGCUCACUGGCCCGAUACUGACGCUGAGGCACGAAAAGCGUGGGGGAGCAAAACAGGG